rnacentral:rRNA from 1 species
AAAUUGAACGCUGGCGGUAUGCUUAACACAUGCAAGUCAAACGGAAACGAUACUAGCUUGCUAGUAGGCGUCGAGUGGCGGACGGGUGAGUAACGCGUAGGAAUCUGCCUGAUAGUGGGGGAUAGCCCGAAGAAAUUCGGAUUAAUACCGCAUAAUCUAUUCGUAGUAAAGUGGGGGACUUUCGAGCCUCACGCUAUCAGAUGAGCCUGCGUAAGAUUAGCUUGUUGGUAGGGUAAAAGCCUACCAAGGCGACGAUCUUUAGCUGGUCUGAGAGGAUGAUCAUCCACAUCGGGACUGAGACACGGCCCGAACUCCUACGGGAGGCAGCAGUGGGGAAUAUUGGACAAUGGGGGCAACCCUGAUCCAGCAAUACCGCGUGUGUGAAGAAGGCCUGAGGGUUGUAAAGCACUUUCAAUUGUGAAGAAAAGUUAGCGGUUAAUAACCGUUAGCCUUGACGUUAACUUUAGAAGAAGCACCGGCUAACUCCGUGCCAGCAGCCGCGGUAAUACGGAGGGUGCAAGCGUUAAUCGGAAUUACUGGGCGUAAAGCGUGCGUACGCGGUUUAUUAAGUCAGAUGUGAAAGCCCCGGGCUUAACCUGGGAACUGCAUUUGAAACUGGUCAACUAGAGUAUGGUAGAGGAAAGUGGAAUUUCUGGUGUAGCGGUGAAAUGCGUAGAUAUCAGAAGGAACAUCAAUGGCGAAGGCAGCUUUCUGGACCAAUACUGACGCUGAGGUACGAAAGCGUGGGUAGCAAACAGGAUUAGAUACCUUGGUAGUCCACGCCGUAAACGAUGAUAACUAGCCGUUGGGGGGAUUUACCCUUUAGUGGCGAAGCUAACGCGUUAAGUUAUCCGCCUGGGGGGUACGGCCGCAAGGUUAAAACUCAAAGGAAUUGACGGGGACCCGCACAAGCGGUGGAGCAUGUGGUUUAAUUCGAUGCAACGCGAAGAACCUUACCUGGUCUUGACAUCUUGCGAACUUUCUAGAAAUAGAUUGGUGCCUUCGGGAACGCAGUGACAGGUGCUGCAUGGCUGUCGUCAGCUCGUGUCGUGAGAUGUUGGGUUAAGUCCUGUAACGAGCGCAACCCCUAUCUUUAUUUGCCAGCACAUCAUGGUGGGAACUAUAAGGAGACUGCCGGUGAUAAACCGGAGGAAGGCGGGGACGACGUCAAGUCAUCAUGGCCCUUACGACCAGGGCUACACACGUGCUACAAUGGGAAGGACAAAGAGCCGCGAAGCCGCGAGGUGUAGCUAAUCUCAUAAACCUUUUCGUAGUCCGGAUUGGAGUCUGCAACUCGACUCCAUGAAGUCGGAAUCGCUAGUAAUCGUAGAUCAGAAUGUACGGUGAAUACGUUCCCGGGUCUGUACACACC